AUUGAACGCUGGCGGCAUGCCUUACACAUGCAAGUCGAACGGUAACAGGUCUUCGGAUGCUGACGAGUGGCGAACGGGUGAGUAAUACAUCGGAACGUGCCUAGUAGUGGGGGAUAACUACUCGAAAGAGUGGCUGAUACCGCAUGAGAUCUACGGAUGAAAGCAGGGGAUCGCAAGACCUUGUGCUACUAGAGCGGCCGAUGGCGGAUUAGGUAGUUGGUGGGAUAAAAGCUUACCAAGCCGACGAUCUGUAGCUGGUCUGAGAGGACGAUCAGCCACACUGGGACUGAGACACGGCCCAGGCGCCUACGGUGGGCAGCAGUGGGGAAUUUUGGACAAUGGGCGCAAGCCUGAGCCAGCAAUGCCGCGUGCAGGAUGAAGGCCGUCGGGUUGUAAACUGCUUUUGUACGGAACGAAAAGCCCUGGGUUAAUACCCUGGGGUCAUGACGGUACCGUAAGAAUAAGCACCGGCUAACUACGUGCCUGCCGCCGCAGUAAAAC
rnacentral:rRNA from 1 species